rnacentral:rRNA from 1 species
CACUCCUGCGGGAGGCAGCAGUGGGGAAUAUUGGACAAUGGGCGCAAGCCUGAUCCAGCCAUGCCGCGUGAGUGAUGAAGGCCCUAGGGUUGUAAAGCUCUUUCACCGGUGAAGAUAAUGACGGUAACCGGAGAAGAAGCCCCGGCUAACUUCGUGCCAGCAGCCGCGGUAAUACGAAGGGGGCUAGCGUUGUUCGGAUUUACUGGGCGUAAAGCGCACGUAGGCGGACUAUUAAGUCAGGGGUGAAAUCCCGGGGCUCAACCCCGGAACUGCCUUUGAUACUGGUAGUCUUGAGUUCGAGAGAGGUGAGUGGAAUUCCGAGUGUAGAGGUGAAAUUCGUAGAUAUUCGGAGGAACACCAGUGGCGAAGGCGGCUCACUGGCUCGAUACUGACGCUGAGGUGCGAAAGCGUGGGGAGCAAACAGGAUUAGAUACCCCGGUAGUCC